AGACGCUGGCGGCAGGCCUAACACAUGCAAUUCGGGCGGGGAAAGGGAGCUUGUUGCCUCACUUAGCGGCGGACGGGUGAGUAAUGCUUAGGAAUCUGCCUAUUAGUGGGGGACAACAUUUCGAAAGGAAUGCUAAUACCGCAUACGUCCUACGGGAGAAAGCAGGGGAUCUUCGGACCUUGCGCUAAUAGAUGAGCCUAAGUCGGAUUAGCUAGUUGGUGGGGUAAAGGCCUACCAAGGCGACGAUCUGUAGCGGGUCUGAGAGGAUGAUCCGCCACACUGGGACUGAGACACGGCCCAGACUCCUACGGGAGGCAGCAGUGGGGAAUAUUGGACAAUGGGCGGAAGCCUGAUCCAGCCAUGCCGCGUGUGUGAAGAAGGCCUUAUGGUUGUAAAGCACUUUAAGCGAGGAGGAGGCUACUUUAGUUAAUACCUAGAGAUAGUGGACGUUACUCUCCCAAUAAGCACCGGCUAACUCUGUGCCAGCUCCCACGGUGAUACAGAGGGUGCAAGCGUUAAUCGGAUUUACUGGGCGUAAAGCGCGCGUAGGCGGCUAAUUAAGUCAAAUGUGAAAUCCCCGAGCUUAACUUGGGAAUUGCAUUCGAUACUGGUUAGCUAGAGUGUGGGAGAGGAUGGUAGAAUUCCAGGUGUAGCGGUGAAAUGCGUAGAGAUCUGGAGGAAUACCGAUGGCGAAGGCAGCCAUCUGGCCUAACACUGACGCUGAGGUGCGAAAGCAUGGGGAGCAAACAGGAUUAGAUACCCUGGUAGUCCAUGCCGUAAACGAUGUCUACUAGCCGUUGGGGCCUUUGAGGCUUUAGUGGCGCA
rnacentral:rRNA from 1 species